GACGAACGCUGGCGGCGUGCUUAACACAUGCAAGUCGAACGGAAAGGCCCUGCUUGCAGGGUACUCGAGUGGCGAACGGGUGAGUAACACGUGGGUGAUCUGCCCUGCACUUCGGGAUAAGCCUGGGAAACUGGGUCUAAUACCGGAUAGGAGCCAUUUUUAGGGUGAGGGUGGGAAAGUUUUUUCGGUGUAGGAUGAGCUCGCGGCCUAUCAGCUUGUUGGUGGGGUAAUGGCCUACCAAGGCGGCGACGGGUAGCCGGCCUGAGAGGGUGGACGGCCACAUUGGGACUGAGAUACGGCCCAGACUCCUACGGGAGGCAGCAGUGGGGAAUAUUGCACAAUGGGCGCAAGCCUGAUGCAGCGACGCCGCGUGGGGGAUGACGGCCUUCGGGUUGUAAACUCCUUUCGCUAGGGACGAAGCUUUUUGUGACGGUACCUAGAUAAGAAGCACCGGCUAACUACGUG
rnacentral:rRNA from 1 species